GAAAUGCGAUAAGUAAUGUGAAUUGCAGAAUUCAGUGAAUCAUCGAAUCUUUGAACGCACAUUGCGCCCUCCGGUAUUCCGGAGGGCACACCUGUUCGAGCGCUAGUUAAGACAAUUCAAGCCCUGCUUGGCGUUGGGGAACGCGCCCUACCCAGCCCUCUAGCGGCGGGACGGGGCGGCCCCGAAACCCAUGGGCGCCGCCGCCCGGCUCCGAGCGUAGCAAGCGAAAGCCCUCGCUCCGGACCGCCGGGUCGGUGGCCGCCGGUAAACCUCAUUUUUACCACAAUCUUAGCCUCGGAUCAGGUGGGGAUACCCGCUGAACUUAA
rnacentral:misc_RNA from 1 species